GAACUCUGGUAAUCGAUUCGACAACUUCUUCGUCCGAACAAAGUUCCAUGUCAGACGCUUCUCUGCCGGAUAUCCAGGCGCACAAGACGUGCUGUGAAUUCGCCAGUUCCUCGACAUUGGAAACACCUUGUGGAAAAGGCGGUGAUACUGACGGGGAGAUCGAUCGCGCGGCCGUCACUGGUGCAAAAAAUACCGCGGCUUGGAUCCGGUCUGAAAAGCGGCGUUUUCAGGAGUCCUUCUUGAGCUGCGAGGGUGAAGACGGGAUUCGCGACGCAUCCGCCUUCGAUCCAUGUGGCUCCCAUUUCUGCGACACCGUCACCUAACCAGCAGGAAUGGAUUCGACCACCAGUAUUGUGAAAUUCUGCAAACCGCAUUGGACGAAACGAUGAGCUGCGGAAAGGCCGGCCAUUCCACCGCCGAUUAUAACUACCGUUGGUUCUGGUUUGCUCGGAUCCAACAUGCAAGGAUUUAAUUGACAGGAUUCGAAUUUCGACAAUUUUCCACAUCCUCGAAUCUCCGUCGUGGAUAAACAUUUCACGUCGUCUUUUUUUAGUGAAAAUAAUCUGUGAGAAAAUGAACGGGCAGCCUGAAAGCAACUCAGCCCUACAUUCUAAAACGCAAGACUCAUCAGUGUAUCUGCAGAAUUGUUCGUUAUGUUCGUGAACCGUAUAUAUACAUUAAUUAUUCAUUAUGUAACUAUCAGUCACAAACUUUAUGAAAUAACUAUGUAAAAUAUACAUGUAAUUAUUAUCUG